UACGUAGGGUGCAAGCGUUAAUCGGAAUUACUGGGCGUAAAGCGUGCGCAGGCGGCGCGUUAAGACAGGUGUGAAAGCCCCGAGCUUAACUUGGGAAUUGCGCUUGUGACUGGCGUGCUGGAGUGUGGCAGAGGGAGGUGGAAUUCCACGUGUAGCAGUGAAAUGCGUAGAGAUGUGGAGGAACACCGAUGGCGAAGGCAGCCUCCUGGGCCAGCACUGACGCUCAUGCACGAAAGCGUGGGGAGCAAACAGG
rnacentral:rRNA from 1 species